rnacentral:lncRNA from 14 species
UAUACUAUUUCUGCUGUGUUUGAAGUUUUGCCGCAGGGCUGAACUACUACACUCUCAAUUAUUAACCUCAUGAAUUUCUGCAUAAGAAAAUUAAAGAGCUGUUGUUUUCUUGCUUUAGGUGACAGAGUUGAUAUAAAGAGCAGAUAAGCAUGUACAACUUUGGCUCUUCCCAAUCCCAGGGUGGCAGCUGGAGGACUUAAGUCAAGGGGAAACAGCUUUCUGCCUCUAAGGAGUCACAUCCCAGUCAUCCCACCAACAUUCCUCAUUACUGCAUGUUGAGUCAUAUAAGCAUUUGAAGAGCAGGAGUACACCCCAGGUCACAAGAAUGCUUUCUGUUGCCAAGCUUUUCCCCUGCAGCACUUAUGUACAUGUGUGGAUCAGAGCAAAGUUAAGGUGA